GGAGAGCAGUGGGACAGACAGACUUCAGGGCCAUCCCAGGGUGCGGUAGUUCACACCUACGAUCUGAGUGCCUGAGACUGAAAAAUGAGGAUUACUGCUCUGGAGGGUCAGUCUGGUCCACAUAGUGACCUAGAACAGGCCAGCUGGAGCUACACAGAGGAAUAUGCCUGAGAGCAGCAUGGGAGACUUCAAAUCAUACAAUCCCACAAACCUGGCAGGACAUAUAGUCAUAAGCCUGGCAAGAAAGACAGUAAAGGACACCAUCAAAAUGAAUACUGGGAGAGAGGAGCGUAGCUCACUUGGUAGAGCAUUCGACUGUCAUGUCAUGUGAAGCCCUGAGUUCUAGCU